AAAGCGCCCAUAUCAAACAGCAAGCACAUCGCUGUCCCAGCAGCAGCGCCUGCGCCUGUGCUCUCUCCUCUUCUUCCUCAACCCUCGCCGCAACAGGAGAGCUCUCGAUCAGCGCCGCCCGGCCCACCUCGCCCGCGGCCUAACAUUAGGCUCGGGGACUACGGUGCAGCCAAGGAUGACUUGCCGAUCUAUCGUCGAUCAACGAGCGACGCCUCUGAUGUCUGAUCUCGACAUCUAUCGUCGUCAGACCAUCAUCAUCUAUCGGCAAGUUGUUCUUGGCUACACCGUGGCUCCUGCUCCUGAUGUAAGGCUUUGUCGUCUGCGGCGACACGUACUUUUUUUUCCCCUAUCGUCGUCUGAUGAUGAUGAUCGAGCUGAGGGUAAUUUAAGGAAGGUCAAUCACAUCAAAUCAAGGUAACAUAUAAUAUAGGACUAGUAGUAGGAGUUUACGUACGAUUAUUCAUUCUACAGCAUCUGUUCUUCUUCUAAGCAAUCACGUAACGUACACCUGCUAGCUAGUAUAGUGUCCUGAUUUAUUUAGCAACUAGUACGUAUGUACUAUAUAUAACAAGACGAGAGAAGUGACAGGAAAUCUAUAGCAGUGAUAGGAUAAAGCUCUUGCAGAUUA
rnacentral:sRNA from 1 species